AAGGCUUUAGCUUAAUGAAAGCGUUUGGGUUGCAUUCAGAAGAUGUGGAUUAGUGUUUCACAAGUCUU
rnacentral:tRNA from 1 species